rnacentral:rRNA from 1 species
CCUACGAGUGGCAGCCGUGGGGAAUAUUGGACAAUGGGCGCAAGCCUGACACAGCAACGCCGCGUGAAGGAAGAAGGCUCUCGGGUUGUAAACUUCUUUUAUCAGGGACGAAGCAAGUGACGGUACCUGAUGAAUAAGCCACGGCUAACUACGUGCCAGCAGCCGCGGUAAUACGGAGGUGGCAAGCGUAAUUCGGAUUUACUGGGUGGAAAGGGCGAGUAGGCGGGAAAGCAAGUGAGAGGUGAAAACGAUGGGCUCAACCUGUGGACUGCAUUUUACACUGGUUUUCUUGAGUACUGGAGAGGCAGAUGGAAUUCCUAGGGUAGCUGUGAAAUGCGUAGAUAUUAGGAGGAACACCAGGGGCGAAGGCGGUCUGCUGGACAGCAACUGACGCUGAGGCGCGAAAGCGUGGGGAGCAAACAGGAUUAGAUACCCGUGUAGUC